rnacentral:rRNA from 1 species
CCUACGGGAGGCAGCAGUGAGGAAUAUUGGUCAAUGGCCGGAAGGCUGAACCAGCCAUGCCGCGUGAAGGUCAGUGCCCUAUGGGCGUUAAACUUCUUUUGUGCGGGAGCAAUAAUGGUCACGUGUGGCCAGACGAGAGUACCGUACGAAUAAGCAUCGGCUAACUCCGUUCCAGCAGCCGCGGCAAUACGGGGGAUGCAAGCGUUAUGCGGAUUUAUUGGGGUUAAAGGGUGCGUAGGGUGGGAGGUAAGUCAGCGGUGAAAUGCCCCCGCUCAACGGGGUGAAGUGCCAUUGAUACUGGCUUGCUGGAGGGCGGAUGACGUGGGAGGAAUGUGUGGUGUAGCGGUGAAAUGCAUAGAUAUCACACAGAACACCGAUUGCGAAGGCAUCUCACGAAUCCGCGAUUGACGCUGAGGCACGAAAGCGUGGGUAUCGAACAGGAUUAGAUACCCGUGUAGUC